CAGCCGCCACGGUAAUACGAAGGGGGCUAGCGUUGCUCGGAAUUACUGGGCGUAAAGGGAGCGUAGGCGGACUGUUUAGUCAGAGGUGAAAGCCCAGGGCUCAACCCUGGAAUUGCCUUUGAUACUGGCAGUCUUGAGUACGGAAGAGGUAUGUGGAACUCCGAGUGUAGAGGUGAAAUUCGUAGAUAUUCGGAAGAACACCAGUGGCGAAGGCGACAUACUGGUCCGUUACUGACGCUGAGGCUCGAAAGCGUGGGGAGCAAACAGGAUUAGAUACCCCUGUAGUCCCUGUCUCUUAUAC
rnacentral:rRNA from 1 species